GACGAACGCUGGCGGCAUGCCUAAUACAUGCAAGUCGAGCGGACAGAAGGGAGCUUGCUCCCGAAAGUCAGCGGCGGACGGGUGAGUAACACGUGGGCAACCUGCCCCUUAGAUUGGAAUAACUUCGGGAAACCGAAGCUAAUACCGAAUAAUACAAGGAACCUCCUGGUUCUCUGUUGAAAGAUGGCCUUUGUGCUGUCACUAAGGGAUGGGCCCGCGGCGCAUUAGCUAGUUGGUAAGGUAACGGCUUACCAAGGCGACGAUGCGAAGCCGACCUGAGAGGGUGAUCGGCCACACUGGGACUGAGACACGGCCCAGACUCCUACGGGAGGCAGCAGUAGGGAAUCUUCCGCAAUGGACGAAAGUCUGACGGAGCAAUGCCGCGUGAGUGAGGAAGGCCUUCGGGUCGUAAAGCUCUGUUGUGAGGGAAGAACAAGUACCGGCGUAACUACCGGUACCGUGACGGUACCUCACCAGAAAGCCACGGCUAACUACGUGCCAGCAGCCGCCGUAA
rnacentral:rRNA from 1 species